rfam:Torulaspora delbrueckii CBS 1146 chromosome 6, complete genome
UUCCUCGUGGCCCAAUGGUCACGGCGUCUGGCUACGAACCAGAAGAUUCCAGGUUCGAGUCCUGGCGGGGAAG